CAAGCAAAACCCCAAAAGGGCACGCUUUUCCAUCUUAUAUAAUCCACUAGCUCUCUCCCACUGUGCCCAUUUCUAUGUGCGGUGGUGGUGUCAUUGUAUGUAAGGGGAGAGAGAGUGAAUGAACAGAGAGAAAAAUUAAAAAUAGAAGAAAAGAAACGGCAAAGGCAUCCCUCUAUCAAAACUCCGUCUCUAUUUGCUUGCACCCUUCGCAGUGAGUGUGGCCUCUCAACUCUGUAAAAAAAAGCCCUGUUCAUACUUUAGGAGUGAGAAAGUUAAAGAGAGAGAGAGAGAGAGAGAGAGAAGUGUCUUUCUGUUUGUGGUAGAGGAGCAGAGCAGAGAGGUAAUAGACAUAUAUAAGAGAGAUGCAGCCCAUGAUGGCAGCCUAUUAUCCUAACAACGUCACUUCUGAUCACAUUCAGCAGUGUCCUCGCGCUAACCUUUUGGAAGUGUUGAGUUCAAUUAUUUCCAAGUGGUGGUCAUAUUUGGCAUUAUUGUUUUGGAAAUGGUAGUGGAAUAACUUUCACGUGUUUGAACGAUAAGCUUUUAGGGAAAUAAACAGAUUAUAAUUUGGUAACUUCUUUUACUUGAAUUAAAACUUGGCCUGAGUUGUUAAGUUUCUCCCUGUAGAUACAUGGAUUUUGUGGUUUUCCAAGCUCUUUUUGUUUUGUUCAUAAUAGUUCUACAACUUAUCACUCCUACUGUUUCAUGUCUUGCUGAGGAGGGAGAUGAUAACUAUACCCUUUUUCACGGUGGUUUAGGAAUAUAGUCUAUUACUUGAAAAAUAUGAAUGUUUCUUCUCUUUUAAACGUACUUGUUAAUGUAGGAUGCAAGCAAGGUUUUACACCAAAAUUUUAAACAGUAGUUACAAGGGUAAACUUCCAGUGGGUAAAUUUUAAGGGGGUAAAUUUAGUGUGCAUAGUGGAAAUAAUCGUGGGGCAACUGGUAUAGUUGAUGGGCUUUGCUUGACACACUAUAUGUACACAACUCGCAUUCCACAUGUCACUAGUGGAAUGUUAGACGGUCACCUCGUUUCCUUGCAUAAAGUUGAUGAGAUCAAGUAGAUGGAAUGGUAUGCAUAGACAUGCGAACUCAGAAAUUAUCAUAUUUUAAGUGCUGAUGUCAAAGUAAAUGACGAAAAGGGUUGUUUGUUUCUUGUUGACAACCCAACUAGACGGUUGGUUAAAAUCAUGGGUUAAGUGUAACCCAUGUUUUAAUGCAAGAUACCCCAUCUUCCAUUUCCGAACUUGUUACUGUUAGUGAGGUAAAUUUCAAGACUUAACAUACUUAGGAUAAGGCUUUAUUUGUUGGUGUUGUAUGAUGUUCUGUUGUUGUUGUAUUUUAUGUUGUUUUUGUAUCAUGUUGGGGAUAUCUUGUGCGGUAUGAGGGAUGUACAGCUGCAGACAAAGAGGGAUCAUUUAAAUAUUAAUCUUGACACGAUUUUUUUAGUGUCUUUUGGCGGGCGAUAUAGAGCUAUGCUCUCGCAUAUGCUAGAAGCUACAAGUCAGGAGUCUAAAUUGGAUUCCCAAGCAUUUGCUGUAUAUCGCCCGCCAAAAGACAUUAAAAAAAUCGGGUCAAGAUUGAUAUUUAAAUGAUUUCCUUUUGGUCUACAGCUGGACAUCCCUCAUACCACACAAGAUAUCCCUAACAUGAAACAACAACAUAAGAUACAACAACAACAUAACAUUAUACAACAACAAAAAAGAAAGCCUUAUCCUAAGUAUGUUAAGUAUAGUAGCAAGUUCAGAAAUGGAAGAUGGGGAUAUUUUGCAUUAAAACAUGGGUUACACUUAACCCAUGAUUUUAACCAACCAUCUACUUAGGUUGUCAACACGCGACCCUUUUCGUCCUUUACUUUGACAUCAGCACUUAAAAUAUGAUGACUUCUAAGUUCGCAUAACUGUGUAUACCAUUCUAUCGACUUGAUCUCAUCAACUUCAUGCAAGGAAACGGGGUCACCGUUUAACAUUCCACUAGUGACAUGUGGAAUGCGAGGUGUGUACAUAUAGUGUGUCAAGCUAAGCCCAUCAACUGUACCAAUUGCCUCACGAUUAUUUCCACUAUACAUACUAAGUUUACCCCUGCAGUUACUGUUUAAAAAAUUGGUGUAAAAACUUGCUUGGAUCAUGCAUUAAUAAGGACUUUCACAAGAGAAGAAACAUUAAUAUUUUUCAAGUAAUAGACUACAUUCCUAAACCACCGUGAAAAAAGUGUACAAUUAUCAUCUCCCUCCUCAACAAGAAAUGAAACAAUAGGAGUGAUAAGUUCUAGAACUAUUAACAAAAAGAGCUUGGAAAACCAAAAAAUCCAUGUAUCUACAGGGAGAAAUUUAACAACCUAGGCUAAGUUUUAAUUAAAGUAAAAGAAGUUACCAAAUAUAUUAGGUUUAUUUCCCAAAAGCUUAUCGUUCAAACAUGUGAAAGUAGGGAGAUGGCGAGGAAGAAUUGUGGGGUUUUGAUACGAGAGACGAUGAUUGGCAAUCACUAUAAUCCCAGGUCGUCUUCAUCAUCAUCACCGUAUGGUCCAAACCCUAGCCCCCCAAAUUCAAUGCCAACAAGCAUCUGCCAUUCCUUCCUCCAACGCAUCCGCCUCCUCCUUGGCCUCACUCCCAGCCAGGGUCUCCGCCUCCGGUGCACUCUCGGCCCCCAGGCUCAAAACUUCUGUUUCCGAGUCCCCAAGACAUGAUCAUGUAGAAGGAAUAUAAGAGAGCAAUUAAACAGUUAAAGGUGGACGUUUGCCAGCAGUUUUCUACUUUACUACAGCCGCUUGCCCAAACAAUAAGU